GGAUGGGGAGGAAGUGGAGGGGGAAGGAUGGGUUGCUGACAAGAAGGAUCCCAGGUGAAAGGGGUAGCUGUGGAGGGGAUAGCUUAUAGACGACUUGAAUGAGAAGGAAGAUGAGGAGAAAAAAUGGAUGAGGAAGGAAAGGAGGUAGAGAGAUAGAUGGAUUUGGAGGAGGAAGAGGAUGAGGAGGUGAUAGAGAAUGAGGAGAAAUGGAUAAGGAGGAAGGGGAGGAGGAGAGAGGGGCCACCGAUAAAAAAUGUGUUGGAGGAGGACAAGGAGGAGAAAAGGAUGGAGAGAAAGAAGAGAGGGAAGACAAGAUGAGAUGAAGGUGCAAGGGCUUGGUAUGGAGAGGAAUGGUUUAUAGGUGGCUUAGAAGAGAAGAAAAAUGAGGAGGAGAAGUGGAUGAGGAGGAAGGAAAGGAGAUGGAGGAAUAGGUGGAGGUAAAGAGAGUCACCAUAAAGGAGGAGAAAUGGAUGAGGAAAAAGAAAGGAGGAGAAAGAGGAGGAA
rnacentral:lncRNA from 1 species